rnacentral:lncRNA from 1 species
UUUUCAAAUGCAAUCAAGGCUUCCUAUAUACGGGCGGAAAGGCGGCUUCCUCCGCUGAGAAAGCUGAAGGUCCUUACCUGCGGCGUACGGACUGCUCUGGUGGUCCCUGAGGGUGCCCAGGCUGCAGGAUCCCGGCGUGAGGGAAGGGCAGCCGGACGUGGCCCCAAAAGUGGUCCUUAUCGGGUUAUACUGGAAGCCACUGGCCUGGCUGCAGGAACUGAAGUCAGCAUAGGCUGAAGCCAGGCUCGAGGUGUCCAUCCCAGCCAUACAGGACUCGUAGGCAGAGGAAUUGAGGGUUCUCACAACCAAUUGAAAGAGAAUAAAACAUUCUCUUGCUUCAUAACCAAAGUGCUGCUCACACUUACAGCAACCUUUGGAAGGGGAAUCCUGGCUAUUGAUGUCCCUGGAAAGAGAGUGGUAGAAGAAAAGAAAUUGAAGACAUGGAAGAAAGAUGAAAACGCUGGCUACUAAAUACCUAUGUGUGGUUACUGAGUGUGGUAUACUUGGACACCGAGCUCCCCCACCCAUCAGAUGUCACAAAGAGUCCUCUUACUCUUGGAUAAUUUCAAAUCAAACUGACCUCCCCAGGUAAGCCCCUUGUCACUUUCAGAAGAAUCCCUUUUAAUGUGUGCUCCACUAAGAUUUUAAACUCAGAAACUCAAGACUUUAUUAAGUUGCUACACUUUCAAGCUCAGUAGGACAUUUUGACUUGGAAGGGAAAUUACUUGGUAAAAUGACGAGCUAUUCAUUUGCCUCGGAAUAGGAGGUUUCAGAGAAUGUAGAAUUUUCAGUUUUAAAACUGAGACAGUCUCAGCAUAACUGGGUUGGUUGAUCACCCUAUUCUAACAUCAUUUAUGACACCCAAUUGGCCUAAUGAAAUUGGCACACAAAAACUAACUUGUGAAGGCAAACAACUUUCAUAGAAAUAAUUUACUGAAACUGCAAGGGAAUUCUCUGAGCCCUCACAUUCGAGAGGCACAGAAUCGAACAGAUCAUCCAAGCAGAUUUCUUUAAAUUGGUUGGAAGUGCACAGCUCUUGUUUCGGCAUCAAUAGAUGUGUUCAGUUUCAACUAAGCAAUUCACUAACUGCAUUGAUUUUUAAGGCCAAGCUGAAGGUAUUGAGAAAAUAUCCAGAUGACACAGAAACUGGAAUGCUCAGAGACUGAUGAACAAAGGGAGAAUUUUGCUCCUGUUGCUUAUUCCUGGGACACCUCUAGCUGGGAAUACAUAUCCCAGGGCUGUUAGUAGUUUUAACCUUUCUUUGGCCACUUGAUGGUCGAACCAUUCUAGUACAUCCCUGUGCCUAAGGGCUCUCAGAAUACUCUGGGAAUACAAGUUCGUGCUCAAGGUCCAACAGCUGUCAGAGCAGAUGGCUGGGGAUUUGUUUACUGUGGUCCUAAGUAUUACCCUUUAGCUCUAAGGCACUGGGAACAAUUUGACAAAUUUGAUUAACUGAGAACAAUAUGAUGCUUGCCUGGAAAGCUCACUCCACACUUUCACAGAGUUCCUUAUGUUCUUUUCAUGGUCUGAGGAUACAGGAUGAUAUUAGCUACCACCUCAGUCCAAUGAAACUAUCAGAGAAAACAAAAAAGUCACCCUUGGCUACCCCUUUUGUUUUACAACUGAAUGUUUGUGGUUCACAUGUACAGCCAGCUGUUCUAUCAGAGAUGCUCAGAGCAUACCUAGUCCUGCCUUUAAGAAAAAGAAAUGUGACUUCAUGUUCCAUGGCACUCUAUAGCUUAUUUGUCAAUUACAAUCUGUGUCUGCUUUGUGAAACUAAAAAUAAAUAGUUAAUCUGCUGGAAAAUCUUAUUCUACCUUCCCAACUUGCCUCUGUUUUUCGUCCUCUCAACUUCCAGUAGUUUCUUUGGUGAACAUCUCACGGACGGCUUGCAAAGCAUUUUGUGCUUUGAGAUGGCGUGUAUAUCCCUGGGUCUGUGAAAGGCCACUGCUGCAGGGUGGGGAGACAAUAGUCAGCUCUGGGAAGUCUGUGGGAAUUCCUGAGGGAGCUGCAAGUUACUAUGAAUAGCCCGGCAUUCGAAGAAGAUUUGCAGAGGAGUCUCCUGCUGUGCCCUCUAGCUCUCUACUUGAUGGAGACAAACCCAGGGCCUGAGAGGUUGGGAAGGGCUCAGGGAGGACGCCCAUUAGGGGACAGGCUUUCUUGUGUCCAGAUUCCACUUGGGUGACCCUGGGAAGAGAGACUGCUGGCUCUUUUCCGGAGCCACAAUGCUCCAUUUACAAGCUGCAAUUAGUCGCAAGCAAAAUUUGUGCAUCCACUACUAACUGUCAGCUCAAGAGGUUGAAAGUUCAGUCCUGGGGAGGUCAGGACGUCUUCCAAGGGACGGAUGACUUUGCUUACAACCUCCCCUCCCCCAGUACAGUGGGGACCCUUCUGUAGGGGAGAGAACCACAUUCCAUAGAGGGAUGCCUGCAAAACUGAAUGAUCUAUGCCAGACAGGCUCAUGGUUCUGGGACUAGGCAUAGUAGGCAGAUGUACCCGUUAUACAGUGACUUUUCUACAGCAGAAUAUUGACUUAAUUUAUAAUAAAUAUAGCCAUUUGAGAAGAGCAAGGCAAGUAAUGCUGUAGUGCUGUUAGGAUUUAGCUGCUAUUUCAAAGUUCAGCCAGUUUUGCUUGCAUAUUCCAUGUGGAAUAAAAAAGCCAGAAAGUCCCAGAAAAAAAAUGAACUGUUCUUUGCCAAAUCAAAAUGUGUAAAUAGUUCUUCUGAGAGCAUAACAAAGGGUCUAUUUUGCUUUUAGACACCAGAGCCAGAAACAGGAAAAGGCUACAAUUAACUAACUGAAGCACAAUGUGAAGUUAAUCAAUAAUGGAACGAUUAUGACGAAGAUGCCAUACAUUAACUCUACCUAGACAUGAGUGCUGCUUUCAGAGCAUGAACAUUCUUUCAAAUUCCAGAUACCACUUUUUCCCUUGUGAGGCUGCAUUUUAAUUUUCCACUGUCUCCUCUAUUCUCAUUUGCAAUCCUCUGAAUCUCACUGUAAACUGUGACUAGAUUCCUCCUCCCCCAUUUGUGGUGUGUGAUGUUGGAAUCCCUGCGUUGCUCUUCUGAGAAACAGAGAAGACUUCCAUUUGGAGACUGAGCUGACAAGGAUUGAAUUCUUUAUUUAUUUUAUUUUAUUUAUUUAUUUUUU